rnacentral:rRNA from 1 species
CCUACGGGAGGCUGCAGUGGGGAAUCUUGCGCAAUGGGCGAAAGCCUGACGCAGCGACGCCGCGUGGGGGAGGAAGGGCUUCGGCUUGUAAACCCCUGUUGCCCGGGACGAAUCCCUGGUUUCGACCAGGUUGACGGUACCGGGUGAGGAAGCACCGGCUAACUCCGUGCCAGCAGCCGCGGUAAUACGGAGGGUGCGAGCGUUGUCCGGAAUCACUGGGCGUAAAGGGCGCGUAGGUGGUCUUUUAAGCGUGUGGUGAAAGCUCGGGGCUCAAC